rnacentral:rRNA from 1 species
AUUGAACGCUGGCGGCAGGCCUAACACAUGCAAGUCGAACGAGUGGCGGACGGGUGAGUAAUGUCUGGGAAACUGCCUGGUGGAGGGGGAUAACUACUGGAAACGGUAGCUAAUACCGCAUACCAUCAGAUGUGCCCAGAUGGGAUUAGCUUGUUGGUGGGGUAACGGCUCACCAAGGCGACGAUCCCUAACUGGUCUGAGAGGAUGAUCAGUCACACGGGAACUUGGACACGGUCAAGACUCCUACGGUAGGCAGCAGUGGGGAAUAUUGGACAAUGGGCGAAAGCCUGAUCCAGCCAUGCCGCGGGUGUGAAGAAGGUCUUCGGAUUGUAAAGCACUUUAAGUUGGGAGGCGUUACCAACAGAAUAAGCACCGGCUAACUUCGUGCCAGCAGCCGCGGUAAUAC